UACGUAGGGUGCAAGCGUUGUCCGGAAUUAUUGGGCGUAAAGAGCUCGUAGGCGGUUUGUUGCGUCGGCCGUGAAAUCCCGAGGCUCAACCUCGGGUCUGCAGUCGAUACGAGCAAACUAGAGUGUUGCAGGGGAGACUGGAAUUCCUGGUGUAGCGGUGAAAUGCGCAGAUAUCAGGAGGAACACCGGUGGCGAAGGCGGGUCUCUGGGCAACAACUGACACUGAGGAGCGAAAGCGUGGGGAGCGAACAGG
rnacentral:rRNA from 1 species